rnacentral:tRNA from 3 species
GUAGGCAUAGUGUAAAGGCAACACGCCAGACUGUGGCUCUGGUAUUGUGGGUUCAAACCCCACUGCCUACCCCA